GGGUGGAUUUGAGGGUCUUCAGUUGAAUGUACUGAGUGCGGUCAGAGAAGUAGGAAAUAAACCAGUCCAACGGAGUGUUAGUGAUGCCAAUGGAAGAAAGCCUACUGAAGAGUGUGGUGUGACAGAUGGUGUCAAAGGCUGCACUCAGGUCGAGGAGGAUGAGGAUGGUGAGUAGUCCAGAAUCAAAUGCCAUGAGGAGGUCAUUGGUGAUUUUGAUGAGUGCUGUUUCAGUGCUGGAGAGGCCGAAAACCAGACUGAAAUUUUUCAUACAGGCUGUUGGCAGAUAGGUGAGUAUGGAGCUGGGAGGCAACUGUUUUUUCAAGAAUUUUGGAAAUGAAGGGUAAAUUGGAGAUAGGACGGAGGUUGUUGAAGUUGAUCGGGUCGGCACCAGGUUUUUUUUACAAUCGGGGUGAUGGCAGCAGUUUUGAGAGGUGUAGGGACAGUUCCAGUGGUGAGGGAGGUGCGGAUGAUAGCGGAGAUGAGGGGAACCAGAGAGGGGAGGCAGGUUUUGACAAGUUGUGUUGGGAAGGGGUCCAGUUGACAGGUGGAUGGUCUGGAUUUCCGGAUGAGCUCACAUUGUUAAGGGUCGAUGUCUUUUAGUCCGAGCUGGUUUUGAAUAUUCUAAUGUUGUUUUUAUUAAUGUUUAUGCUCCAUGUGCCAAUGCAGAGAAAACACGUUUUUUUAACAGAAAUUGGGGAGAAGUUGGGGGAUUGUGGGAUGGAGGAUUACGUUUUUAUAGGAGGGGAUUUUAAUUGUACGGAGGACAAUUCUUUAGACCGUAAUCAUGCAGAGCCACAUGUAGCAGCUCAACACGCUCUGCGGCAGCUGGUCUCGUCUCAUGGCCUGGUGGACGUAUGGAGGAGGAUGCAUGCAGGCUCCAGGCAGUACACGUGGUCCCAUAUGAAAGAAAACCACAUUUCACUAGCUCGUCUUGACCGGUUUUAUUGUUUUAAACACCAUUUUAACGUGUUUAAAACUUGUCAGAUUUUACCAGUAGGUUUUACGGAUCAUUCCCUGGUUUUAGGUAGUGUUUUUAUUAGAAACAUUUUACCUAAAAGUGCUUACUGGCAUUUUAACUCGGUUUUAACUUAUGAUUGUAGUUUUAAAGAAACUCUGAGUUAUUUUUGGACUGGUUUUAGACAGAGAAAGAGAGAUUUUACCUGUCUGCAACAGUGGUGGGACUACGGCAAAGUUCAGAUAAAACUGCUGUGUCAGCAGCACACUCUCAAUGUUACUCGUGACAUCACCAGAUCUAUUAAGGAUCUGGAGAUAAAUAUAGUGGCGUUAGAACACUUGAGCGAAUCCACAGGAAAUAGAGAGUACAUUGAAGCUCUCAAAUCUAAAAGGCUGGUUUUAGCAAACCUGCUGGAGACUAAAGUUCAAGGCACAUAGGUCAGGUCGCGGAUGCAGAACAUGACGGACAUGGAUGCGCCUUCCAGCUUUUUCUUUAACUUGGAGAGAAAGUGUGGUCAGAGGAAGCUGAUCCACUCUCUACUGUCAGACACGGGACAGCAGUUAAGUGAACCGGGGCAGAUCAGGAGGAGGGCGGUGGAGUUCUACUCUUUGCUAUUCCGUAGCGAGUACAAGGAGAAUGAUGAACUGUUCGAGGAGUUCUGUAGUGGACUGCCUCAGGUCGCUGAGGGGACCAUCACCCAGCUAGAGCGCCCCUUGGGGGUGCAAGAGCUCCACGCGGCCCUCCAGAGCAUGCAGGGCCAGAAGGCCCCAGGCAUCUACGGGUUCACCGUUGAGUUAGGCAUACUGGAACAUCUUAGCAGGGGACCUGCUGGAUGUUUUCAAUGAAAGCCUGACCACUGGUUUGCUCCUGCUGUCAUGCCGCAGGGCGGUUAUCACCCUCCUGCCAAAAAAAGGCAAUUUGCAGGACAUAGAGAACUGGCGUCCCGUGUCUCUUCUGUGCACGGAUUAGACAAAAUUCUCACCAAGGCCCUUGCAAACAGUAUGAGAGGAGCAAUGGAACAGGUCAUCCACCGGGACCAGACCUACUGCGUCCCCGGCAGGUCCAUGGUAGAUAACAUCUACCUAAUUCGGGAUGUUUUGGAGGUCUCCGGUUCAUUGGGUUUGAAUACGGCCUUGAUUGCACUAGAUCAAGAAAAGGCAUUUGCCCGCGUCAAACACAGCUUCCUCUGGGAAACCAUGGAGAGGUUUGGUUUCGGCGCUGGUUUUAUAGAUCCAGGUGAUGUACAAUAAUAUUGAGAAUGUGCUAAAGAUCAAUGGUAGCCUGUGUGCUCCUUUUAGGGUGUGUAGAGGCGUUCAGCAGGGCUGUGCUUUCUCGGGUAUGCUCUACGCACUCUCUCUGGAACCCCUCCUCCAGAAAAUACGUGCGAGUGUUCAAGGUCUGGUUUUACCCGGUUUUAACAGAAAGAUGGUUUUAUCUGCCUACGCUGACGAUGUUGUCAUUUUUAUAAAAGACCAACAAGACGUCGAUGUUUUAAACAAGAUUACCAAUAAUUUUUCCAUCCUGUCUGCCUCGAGGGUGAACUGGGCUAAGAGUGAAGCCUUCGCCACAGGUGAGUGGCAUGGAGGGCGUCCGGUUCUCCCUCAAAAUCUGCAAUGGAAGACAGACGGCUUUAAGUACCUUGGGGUUUAUCUGAGGGACAAAACCACUGUACAGAAAAACUAGGAAGACAUGGAAACAAAAGUCAAGACUAAACUUGCUAAGUGGAAGUGGCUACACCCUCAGAUGUCAUAUAGAGGCAGGGUGUUGGUUUUAAACAAUUUAGUUGCUUCACAGCUGUGGCACAAGCUUUCUGUCUUGGACCCACCGCUGGGAUUUCUGGUAAAGUUACAGUCUGAGAUGGUCGAGUUCUUUUGGAAUGGUUUACACUGGGUGCCACAGUUUUGUUUUUACCGAAGGAGGAGGGGGGCCAGGGCCUGUUCCACCUGGCAAGCAGAACAGCUACUUACCGUAUGCAGUUUCUCCAGAAGUACCUGGCAGGGCCUCCUGACACCGUGUGGAGAGAUGUGGCCAGUUGUAUUCUCAGACGUGUAAAUAACUUGGGGCUGGAUGCUGCUCUGCUUCUAACCGAUUUUAGUUUUUUAAAAUUAAAAGGAAUGCCUCAGUUUUAUCAGGGUGUUUUUAAAUCCUGUGUUCUUUUUAAAAUAAAAACACCAGAAACGUUUAACUCUCUGCAUUGGUUUUUAGAAGAACCUGGGGUCUGUGGAGCGAGACUGGACGUCUGUGGCAGCAAAGUACCGGGUCUGUCGGAUGCGCUGUGCAGGUCCGGGACAGUGACCCUAAGGCAUCUGGUGGAGGUGGCUGGACCAAACCUCGACAACAUCAGAGAUCGGUUGGCAAGAAACUGAAGAUAUGCGUUACCGCCACCUACUGUUAUGAAGUACAUCUGGCCUGGCGUUCUGUUAGCUGUGACUCAAUCCUGGGUGGCCGAUCAUCUACCAUUACCCUAUAACAUAGAAAAGAUUUCUAUCGUCGCUACAUGCAUUCUCAGUGUGAAGGAUUGCAGCAAAGCCAUGGACAUUGCAGAUGACUGUCCACUGUGGCUCUACACUUAUUCAGUUGCUUCUUUAACAGCUCUAGUAUUUAAAAUAUGAAUUCUGACAGUGAUCCAAAGUUUAUUUCGAUUACAGAGACUUUACAUACAUGUGAGAUUUUGCUGAGUUCCUGCCCACAUAGGUAUAAAAAGAAAUUAGUGAAUAGACAAGACAAAAUAGCUUAAAGAGCAAUUAGGACAAAAAAUAUUAUAAAUAUACCUUUUAGAAAAGGAGAAGCUAAGACAAUAAUCAUUAAGGAAACAUUGAAGAUGUAACGAUUGUACAAAGAAAACAAUAAUUCACCAAAACAGAGUUGCACUUAAAGGGUUUUAUUGUAAACAAAAACAACUAGAACUGCAAGCAGUUAUUAACGAGUUCCAAGCCCACCCACGCCCCGCCCCUUUGAGCAUGCUCCUGGAC